UACGAAGGGGGCUAGCGUUGCUCGGAAUUACUGGGCGUAAAGCGCGUGUAGGCGGUCACGCAAGUCAGGUGUGAAAGCCCAGGGCUCAACCCUGGAAGUGCACAUGAUACUACGUGGCUGGAGUACUGAAGAGGAGAGCGGAAUUCCCGGUGUAGAGGUGAAAUUCGUAGAUAUCGGGAGGAACACCGGUGGCGAAGGCGGGUCUCUGGGCCGAAACUGACGCUGAGGAGCGAAAGCGUGGGGAGCAAACAGG
rnacentral:rRNA from 1 species